CUAACUUUACCUUGAUCAAAGUCAGUGGUUCGCAAACAUCAGCGCGCGUCGGCGUCACCUGGAGGGGUUGGAAAAACAUUUCUGGGGGCCAUUCUGGAGUUUCAGAUUCCGUGUUGCUGAAAGGAUUUCCAACAAGAAAGAGAAAUAGGCCUAGAACUCAGAAGAGGAUGAAGGCCCAGGCCUGAGCUGUCAGCAACUCUGGAGUUUGAAGGCCAGGAGGACAAAGAGGAGCUUGCCAAGGGAGAGAGAAUGAGCAGCCAGAAGGGCUGGAGAACACUGGGGAGUGCUGUUCCUCAGAAGCCACGGGAAGACUUCAGAAGCAGGAGAGAAAUGAAUCACCAGUGCCAACAUGUCCAAAGAGAGAGGAAUUAGAUUCCUUUUGAUGGAAGAGUGUCCGAGAAAUUGCAAGUGUGCUUUAAAACCACCAAACUGGGGCCCCUGGGUGGCUUAGUCGGUUAAGCGUC